GACAGGGGCUUAACGGCUCGCGGGGGUUCGAAUCCCUCUUCCUCCGUUUUACUAAUGGUCUCGUAGUGUAGCGGUUAACACGCCUGCCU
rnacentral:tRNA from 1 species